GAGAAUGAAAGACCGUGAGCGGGUGGAAAAGGAGCAGCAGCUGUCAGCGGCAGAGAAGAGACUGAAACUGGCUGCAGAAGAAACGCAGAACUGCAGCCAGUCCAUAUUCUGCCUGACCAUUUCCGUCUUGGGCCUGAUGUUUUUGGAAUUCUGUGGAAGUUGACCAUUAUUAUUACUUCUUUGGGAAUUUCUGCAUUUUUAAUUUUCCUCUGGAGAACCGUCCUUGCUGUAAAGCCUCGAGUAUAUCAAGUUAAUUUACAUCAAAUUUCUGAGAAGAAGAAGAAUUACUUGAAAGAAAACUCAGAACUGGCCGAAAAAAUAU